UACGUAGGUUCGAAUCCUGCC
rnacentral:siRNA from 1 species